UAAUGUUUACACUGAUACUGCUAGGUGUGCAGGUUUGCGGUGAGAGGUUGAGGACAGUCGGUGAGUUCAGGGUACCCUGUACAUGUGUGCAUUCACGUAGGUAGUGUGUGUCUAGAAACAUUAGACUCUUGGUUGCUGCUCCCUCUGGAUUGUUUUGACAAUAACUUUGCUAGAGAAGCAAGUGAAGCCAUUUUGUUUGUUGGAGGUAUUCCACCAGGCACAACCACAACUGUCCCAAUCUCUCCCACUUCAUGGGACCUUAUCCCCUGGACCAAGAAGUGGACGUAACAGUUCCUGAAAAACUGUUACAAAGACGCUUCUUUAAGCUCUGGGAAAAGUGAGAUGUGCGUCUUUGAUUGACGUUUAACUUUGUUAAGUUACAGCCGGUUAAGAAUAAACUAUAAGGCCGGGUUUGUUGCUUCUAUCUAUUCCUUUUCAGUCUUUCUCUUUUGUAUAGAAUAAUAUUGUAUUUGAUUAACUGAAUAAAAUACACAAACAAAAUGUUUAUCCACAUUAUACACACACACAUAGUUUAACCACUUUAACACAACAAGCUUACAAUGAAUGUGUUUUAAAUGUUUAUUUGUUGUGACUCCACUAGCAGUGUAUCAAAUAAACAUUAAGGUUAUAUAGUUAACCUUGAAUUGGUAUACAUUGUUAAAUUCUUGCCCUGAAAAAGUUGAUAAUCUGGAAGAUCCAUUCCAGGGGUUUGUGGUGGCGGCUCCUGCGGCGGCUCCUCCUCCUCCAGCUGCUGCUGCGCCAGCUCCGGCUCCUCCUCCGGCUCCUGCUCCUCUGGCUCCUGCUCCGGCUCCUGCUCUGGCUCCUCCUGCUCUGGCUCCUCCUGCUCCUCUGGCUCCUGCUGCUGCUGCUCCUGCUGCUCCUGCUGUCUCACCAACGAUUGAGCUCUUUUUAUACACCUGGUGACUAAUUGGACCGAACCAAUACCAUCUAGAGGUCAGUUUAUCCAUCGCAAAAUGUACGCUCAUAUAUUUACACGCUUUUACUAACCCCCAAAAUAUCCAUAUUAAUUUACAGCCACAUUUAGACUUCCUAUAACUGAAGUAAAUUAUAAAUCCAUAGUUUUACUUUAAUAAACACAGCAACACAUGUCUUCACUUCCCCCUACCGAUUCCUUCAGUUGGUAUUUCCCAGACCUAUAAAGCGGUGGUCACGGACCUUGGGAACUAUUUUGGCAGAUAUCCAUGGAGAGAGAAGACCUGUUCCAGAGAUCCAUGGGAGGAAGACACCUGAACCAGAUAAGUAGUUGCAAUACACACACACCACACCACACACCACACACUGUAUGUCUGCAGCCACAUGGGGAAAAAACUUGCAUUUUCUAAUUCUUGGCAUUACCGUUGGAGUACCCAUGGGCUCAGACAUACACUCUCCAACCAUACAUCCAUACACAAGUUCCUUUACGCCACCACUCACACACCAUCUAUAUUCUAUGUCCCUGGAUCACAGACGGUGUGCAGCUGUUGGUCUGGAACUCGCCGAUGGACGUCGAGCUGACUCAACGUGGCGGUGAGAGGACGGAGGAGUGCGUCGAGACUCUCCGGGACAAAGGCUGUUGGAGUGAAAUACAGAGAUGGACAAAAAUACCUGUUUGGAGGGCCAAGUUACCUACACAUGGUUUUUGGAAUGUGGUGAGUGGAAAACCUAAUGAAUUUCAGUCUAACACACUGAAGAUAUUAAUGAUUGCUUAAUUUCUCUUGUUCAUAUUAAAUUUGAAGUGCAUUUUUGUUCUGUUCACAGCUUCCAAGAAGUUCAGCAUCCCAAAACCUAGAUGUCCAAAUGGUAAGUUUGUUAGUGUCAUUAAUUGUUUUAUUUUUGUUGCAGGUCAUCCAGUUUGAUCCUGCCACCACCUCAUGAGACCAGGAAAGCUAUCUGCCAGUGAAGUUCAUCAAGAUGGGGACCAGCAUCCUGAUGGAACCGCAGACAGCUAUACCUGGUUGCAGUGGAAAUGUGAUUCACUGUAAAAUCUGCAUAUUUUUGAAAUGUUUCAUUUGUAUGUAAUAAAAUUCAUUGUUACUUUUGAA